AAUGUAUGAGAAGCAAUGAAAAUGUAAGAGAAACACUACAACGCCCCUUGUUUUCCUGUGGACCUCUUUAGAACAGAUCUCAGUAGUACUGAAGCUACUUACAGGGCUCUCUUUCCCCUACCUUGGAACCAGAGGGCAUUACUAGAAAGAACUCUUCCUUGCUCAGGGGACUCAGUAGAGUGCUUUGUUACUCAAACAAGCAGGUCACAAGGUUCGCCUAGAUUGCAGGUGUGAAGAAAUGAAUUUCACAUCUGAUGGGGUAACUGCAAAGUUGAACCAACCCCCUUCCAUCACGUUAGCCACACACACAGACACUAUAUAUAUACAUGGAUAUAUUUACCAC